GAAAGGAUGAAUCUAUAGAUUAAGCAGAGUUAUUCUUUAUCAUCUGUAGUUCUGUUCUGCAAUCAUCCCUCCAAGCAAACGUUGUGACCAGAGGUGGUGGUCCCAGAGAGAUGUGGCGGAAAGAAAAUUCCUGGACCUGUAGUUUUUCCUGAUCUACUAACCAGGAAAAACUCCAGACCUUAUAAGGUAUGACAUGCUUAAAAUUUGUUGUAAAAAUAUUUAAAAUGAGCUAUGAUGGGACCAGAGUUUUUCUAAUCAGGUGGUCCAUAUGAUUUUUUUUUUAAACUCCUGGAAAAACUCCUUGCAUUAAGGAGGAUGAAAACUCUGUCAAACUGCAGUAACCUUGUACUUGUUCAUAUGAAUUAUGUUUAAAAGAAGGACUAGGGAUCCUAUAAACAGACACAGAGAAGCAACAUGAUUGGCCAAUAAAACUCCCAGGGCUGAGCUUGCUUUCUGCUUGUUUGUAUUGUGUAGUCCACUCUUUAUUCAUUCCAGUUAAUCAUUUGUGGUUGAAAAAGUUUAUGUAGCCAAGUCAGCCCAUGUUUUAAAUAUAAACCACGUCAUUUACCCUGGUUGGAGGGACAGGGCGCAUAGUAGGCUGGACUAUGCAGCUGCUGUUGUUGGUACCCUACAGUUGAUCAUACUGAAAAAUUGUCUAGUUUCCAUGCAAUACAGCAGUGGUUCCAAACUGUGGGGUCAGCAUCAUUUGUUCUUAAUUUUUUUAAGGAACGCAGUCCGGCUUUCAAUUUACUCUUGAAAGUUGUAGUAGUAGAAUGCACAAGGUGCAAUUUCGAAAUUGGGUAGUGCAUCAGUUUUCCUCUUGUCACUACCAUAGAGUAGUGCUCAGCGAUUAACCAAAAUGCUGGUUAUUUUUCUGUUUUAAACAACUAAUUGACCGACAUCGGUUAAAUGAUUUGAAUUCCAUUUAGGAUAUAAACUCAGCAAAAAAAAGAAACGUUCUGUCACGUUCCUGACCGGUUUUCUGUUAUUUUGUAUGUGUUUGACGGUCAGGGCGUGAGUUUGGGUGGGUAGUCUAUGUUAUGUGUUUCUAUGUUGGUUAAAGGGUGACCUGAUAUGGCUCUCAAUUAGAGGCAGGUGGUUUUCAUUUCCUCUGAUUGAGAGACAUAUUAAGGUAGGUGUUUUCACAUUGAUUGUGGUGGGUGGUUGUCUCCUGUGUCUGUGUUUGUCGCGCCACACGGGACUGUCUCGGUUUGUUUGUACGUUUGGUCUUUUGUGUAGUCUGUUUUUCCUGUUCGUGCGUUCUUCGUGUUUCAUGUAAGUUCGUCGUCCAGGUCUGUCUAGUCGUUUAUUGUUUUGGAAUUAUUCAAGUGUUCGUCGUGUUUUCUGUUUUGUUUAUUAAAUAUCAUGUCUUAUCACAACGCUGCGUCUUGGUUCAAUCCAUGCUCCUCCUCUUCGGAUGAAGAGGAAGAGGAAAGCCGUUACACGUUCCUUUUUCAGGACACUGUCUUUCAAAGAUAAUUUGUAAAAAUCCAAAUAACUUCACAGAUCUUCAUUGUAAAGGGUUUUAUAAACACUGUUUCCCAUGCUUGUUCAAUGAACCAUAAACAAUUAAUGAACAUGCACCUGUGAACCGGUCGUUAAGACACUAACAGCUUACAGACGGUAGGCAAUUAAGGUAACAGUUAUGAAAACUUAGGACACUAAAGAGGCCUUUCUACUGACUGAAAAACACCAAAAGAAAGAUGCCCAAGGUCCCUGCUCAUCUGCCUUAGGCAUGCUGCAAGGAGGCAUGAGGACUGCAGAUGUGGCCAGGGCAAUAAAUUGCAAUGUCUGUACUGUGAGACAUUGCAAUUUAACUGUAGCACCGUAAGACGGUGCUACAGGGAGACAGGAAGGACAGCUGAUCAUCCUCACAGUGGCAGACCACGUGUAACAACACCUGCACAGGAUCGGUACAUCCGAACAUCACACCUGCGGGACAGGUACAGGAUGGCAACAACAACUGCCCGAGUUACAUCAGGAACGCACAAUCCCUCCAUCAGUGCUCAGACUGUCCGCAAUAGGCUGAGAGAGGCUGGACUGAGGGCUUGUAGGCCUGUUGAAAGGCAGGUCCUCACCAGACAUCACCGGCAACAACGUUGCCUAUGAGCACAAACCCACCAUCGCUGGACCAGACAGGACUGGCAAAAAGUUCUCUUCACUGACGAGUCACGGUUUUGUCUCACCAGGGGUGAUGGUCAGAUCCGCGUUUAUUGUCGAAGGAAUGAGCGUUACACCGAGGCCUGUAGUCUGGAGCGGGAUUGAUUUGGAUGUGGAGGGACCGUCAUGGUCUGGGGCGGUGUGUCACAGCAUCAUCAGACUGAGCUCGUUCUCAUUGCAGGCAAUCUCAACGCAGUGCGUUACAGAGAAGACAUCCUCCUCUCUCAUGUGGUACCCUUCCUGCAGGCUCAUUCUGACAUGACCCUCCAGCAUGGCAAUGCCACCAGCCAUACUGCUCGUUCUGUGAGUGAUUUCCUGCAAGACAGGAAUUUCAGUGUUCUGCCAUGGCCAGCGAAGAGCCCGGAUCUCAAACCCAUUGAGCACGUCUGGGACCUGUUGGAUCGGAGGGUGAGGGCUAGGGCCAUUCCCCCCAGAAAUGUCCAGGAACUUGCAGGUGCGUUGGUGGAAGAGUGGGGUAAUCUCACAGCAAGACCUGGCAAAUCUGGUGCCAUCCAUGAGGUUGAAAUGCACUGCAGUACUUAAAGCAGCUGGUGGUCACACCAAAAACUGAUUUUGACCCCCCCCUUUGACACAUUAUUCCAUUUCUGUUAGUCACAUGUCUGUGGAACUUGUUCAGUUUAUGUCUGUUGUUGAAUCUUGUUAUGUUCAUACAAAUAUUUACAAAUGUUAAGUUUGCUGAAAAUAAACACAGUUGACAGUAA